GUAUAAGAGACAGCAGCCGCCGCGGGAAUACAGAGGGUGCGAGCGUUAAUCGGAUUUACUGGGCGUAAAGCGUGCGUAGGCGGCUUUUUAAGUCGGAUGUGAAAUCCCUGAGCUUAACUUAGGAAUUGCAUUCGAUACUGGGAAGCUAGAGUAUGGGAGAGGAUGGUAGAAUUCCAGGUGUAGCGGUGAAAUGCGUAGAGAUCUGGAGGAAUACCGAUGGCGAAGGCAGCCAUCUGGCCUAAUACUGACGCUGAGGUACGAAAGCAUGGGGAGCAAACAGGAUUAGAUACCCCUGUAGUCCCUGUCUCUUAUAC
rnacentral:rRNA from 1 species